rfam:Picea glauca, whole genome shotgun sequence.
CAACUUGCUGCAAUGGUAGUGUGUCUGACUCCAGAUCAGAAGUUUGCGUGUUCGAUUCACGUCUGGUUCA